ACAGGAAUAUAAACACUGCUGCUGGGACCCCGCAAUUCCCUCAAAAUGCAAUGCAAUGCAAGGUAAAGCUCCAUGAAACUGUAAAAGGUUCAGCACAUCCCUCUUGCCCCUCAAACGCUUCAAGAGAAAGAGCAAUUGAAUUUCAGCGCGAAGUGGUUGGUGAGGAUGUGGCGAAGGAUUCUUCCGAACCGCGUCACCAGGAUUGCAGCCCCCAAGCGCACUAAGGUGUGCUGCCUGCAGAUAGAGUGUCUGCUGCUGCUGUCGUUUUUUGCCUAGUAAGGGCCUGGAGGAGGAGGUUGUUCUGCCUCACCAAGGCCUUCAACUCCUCCACAGCACGCAGGAGUGCAUGAUCCCGUUCUACAGGACAGAAAAACAUCAUGACUGUCAUGUCAAGAGGUGCUCCUGGUUUGGGCUUUUUUCAGGUUCAUACGCGCUGCAUCAUAAUUGGCUGUUGAAGACAACAAUGAAUUCCCAUCUCUCAGACUUACCUGAUCCUCCAUCCAAACUCUGAUGUUGGAAUCCAUGCUGUCCAGUCCAUGUGAAGAGCACAGGAAGCACACUUAAUAGUAGGGUAUCACCAUAUGUCUGGUUGAGCUCCACAAAAGAUCUCGUCUGGCUCAGCUGUUUGAAGCGCAUCUACCUAAAUGUGUCAUUGUAAGGUGGUCUCCCUCUCUCCCUCCCCACCUCCCUCUCUCCCUCCCCACCUCCCUCUCUCCCUCCCUCCCUUAUCACUCCUAGGCACACCAGGUGCAAAGUCCAGCACAAAUUGGGUCACCAAGCCUACAUCUAGGUGUUGUAAUGGACUGUCCGCUUUUAAAGCCUAAGGGGAGAAAAGUGACCUGGGCCCUCUUGCAUGCACCUUUCGCAGUGGUAAUAGGAAUUGUGUGCUUUUAUUUUUUUUUAGAAAUGCCCAUGCCUGUGCAUCACAGACAAAACAGGAAAUUUCGAUUUUACUUAGAACAGUAACCCGGCUUGCGGAGGUACCUUCCCUUACACCCAAACUCCUUUUCUGUACAUAGUUUCUCAUUUAUUUAUUUUGUCUGUUCAGUCAAAUUGCAAAGAUUGUAUUUAUAUAUUGCAUUUCAUUUUCAUCAGUU
ensembl:lncRNA